GAUGAACGCUGGCGGCGUGCCUAAUACAUGCAAGUCGAGCGAACAGACGAGGAGCUUGCUCCUCUGACGUUAGCGGAGGACGGGUGAGUAACACGUGGAUAACCUACCUAUAAGACUGGGAUAACUUCGGGAAACCGGAGCUAAUACCGGAUAAUAUAUUGAACCGCAUGGUUCAAUAGUGAAAGACGGUUUUGCUGUCACGUAUAGAUGGAUCCGCGCCGCAUUAGCUAGUUGGUAAGGUAAAGGCUUACCAAGGCAACGAUGCGUAGCCGACCGGAGAGGCGGAUCGGCCACCCUGGAACUGAGCCACGGUCCUGGCUCCUACGGGAGGCAGCAGUAGGGUAUCUUCCGCAGUGGGCGAAAGCCUUACGGAGCAACGCCGCGUGAGUUAUGAAGGUCUUCGGAUCGUAAUACUCUGUUAUUAGGUAAGAACAAAUGUGUAAGUAACUAUGCACGUCUUGACGGUACCUAAUCAGAAAGCCACGGCUAACUACGUG
rnacentral:rRNA from 1 species